CCAUCGUUACUCCGGUUCAUCUUUAAUCUUAAAAAAACAGAUGGAUUCAGCUUGGUACGGGUGACCAGAAAUUGCUUGGUAUCCUGAUGGUAAUUAAUAUGCUACUCUUACUCCGUAGCCAAGUGCAAGUAUGUUUACAUGGAACAAUUUUAUAAGGACGGUGAUGAUGUUAUUGAGAGUGAUGGGUUUCCUGAUCGAACUCGUGAUGCUUGGACAGUUCAUGGCAUUAGUGCUUAUUAUGGAUGCUUAUGGCUUGCUUCUCUCGAUGUUGCUGCUGCAGUGGGGAAAGGGAGAAGAGAUUGUAAACCUCUAUGAAGUAACUGAGGACCCCAGGUAACAAUCACAACAGCAAAGUAAGAAGCUGAAAUUAUUGUUAAAACCAGUAGAAUCAUUAAGUAACCUAAACUUUUAAGACCGGAACAAAAUCUAAACAUAUUCAAUUCCAUACCAAAAUUUGUACACCCUUCUCGAUCAAUCAAUACAUCUCCAAUAGAAGAUCUUCUAAACUUUUUAACAUUUCUGAUGCCAGAUUUAACCAAUCCCAAAUUGAUUAGGACCUGGAAAAGAAAAAAAUAUAUAUAGCAUAUUUUACAAUUGAAGGGCCAGUGCUACUUCUAUGUUUUCCUUGGAUGACUUUGAAGCGCUGGGAAGUUUCCAUGCAUCAUCAACAAGUCAUCCAGUACUUGGUGAAAGGACAUGAUUCUCAAAAAUAUAACACAUUUGGGUUUUGUUUCUGGGAUUGGUUCUCCUGCUGGAAGCUGGUACUUUAAAUAACAUAGAAGAAUGAAAUGAUAUUGUUGUUCCAACUGGGUAGAGGAGCAGCCACUGGAGGUGUGGAAGCUGCCAAGGCAAAUGGGGUGGGAAAGAAAGGGAAGAACACAAGUGAAGUCGAGUCCUUUUGUCAAAUGAAGGUUGUUGUUGCUAUUAAAGACACUUUGCUGAAGGUCUCUCCAUGUCCGUCGUGUUAUUGUUUUAUCUC